CUGAAUUUUUUUGCUGGCUUAUUGCUGCUUUUGAUGCCUGAAGAAAAUGCCUUUUGGACCUUAAUGGGCAUUUUAGAUGAUUAUUUUGAUGGCUAUUUUUCAGAGGAUAUGAUAGAGUCUCAGGUGGAUCAACUUGUUUUUGAAGAGUUGGUGCGGGAGAGGUUCCCAAUUGG